AUUGAACGCUGGCGGCAUGCUUUACACAUGCAAGUCGAACGGUAACAGGCCGCAAGGUGCUGACGAGUGGCGAACGGGUGAGUAAUGCAUCGGAACGUGCCCAGUCGUGGGGGAUAACGCAGCGAAAGCUGCGCUAAUACCGCAUACGAUCUAUGGAUGAAAGCGGGGGACCGUAAGGCCUCGUCCGAAUGGAGCGGCCGAUGUCAGAUUAGGUAGUUGGUGGGGUAAAGGCUCACCAAGCCAACGAUCUGUAGCUGGUCUGAGAGGACGACCAGCCACACUGGGACUGAGACACGGCCCAGACUCCUACGGGAGGCAGCAGUGGGGAAUUUUGGACAAUGGGCGCAAGCCUGAUCCAGCAAUGCCGCGUGCAGGAAGAAGGCCUUCGGGUUGUAAACUGCUUUUGUACGGAACGAAACGGUCCCGGUUAAUACCUGGGGCUAAUGACGGUACCGUAAGAAUAAGCACCGGCUAACUACGUGCCAGCCGCCGCAGUAAAAC
rnacentral:rRNA from 1 species